AUGACUUUGAUGUGCGUCCUCAUCUGGACUCUCCUCCUCUGCUGCUGCUUCACAGAGUCCAGAGGACAGGUCACAGUGACUCAGCCUGCAGCAGUGAGCUCUGCUCUGGAGCCUCCGUCUCCAUCUCAUGUAGACCAGUCAGGAUGUUUAUUAUAGCAGCUACCACUGCUUAGCCUGGUACCAACAGAAAAGAUGAGAACUCCUAAACUCUUAUUUACAGUUGCUAGCACUCGAGAAUCAGGGAUUCCAGGUCGUUUUUCAGGCAGUGGAUCAAACUCUGCCUUCACUCUGACCAUCAGUGGAGUCCAGACUGAAGAUGCAGCAGUUUACUACUGUCAGAGUUUUCAUAGCAUCAGCAGUCAGUAUGUGUUCACACAGUGA